rnacentral:sRNA from 1 species
UUGAAAAUCUCAACCUCAGUCUCUUCUACUUAUCCACAGAACAGGAACAGCAUAAGCAUCAACAGUGCAGACUUCCUCACGUUGUUCCCAAUCUUGGCCCAAAGGGACUACUUCUAGGAGUAACAGGGUAAAUCAGUCAUCAUGGCCCAUUCAAUCCUCGGCCUGU